rnacentral:lncRNA from 1 species
CCGCAAAGUUGAAAAUAUUUACUGUUUGGGCUCCUGCAGAAAAAGCUUGCUGGUCCCGGUGGGGAUGUCUGCAUGCUGGCCUGCCAGUAAAGUCUGACAGAGGCCAAAGAGGGAGCACGAACGCUGGGGGGAGCAACCGAGCUCUUGCUAAUUAGGGGUUCUGUACACAGCCCUAGGCUGGGAUGGCACUGGCACAUGAGGAGGGCGACCCCUGCUGGUUCCCAGUGGGAUCGCUGACAGCGGGUGGGAAGCGAUCGUCAACACUGGGGAAUUCACAAGCCCAUUGCCAACGUCCAUCAAAAGCUUGUCAUCCGGCCAGUGGGUUCGGCACCUCCUGCUUCUGCCUGGGAACCUCACAAGCCCCCUUCCCCGAAAGAGUGUCUGCUUCUCCACCCUCAGAUGAAGCCCCAGGAGCCCCCGGUCACUUACUGCCUGGGGCUCAGGGCCCUGGAAGAGGGCCCGUGUUACAGGUGUUGAAAAAUGAGCCAUUAUGCCAGUAA